CAGCCGCCGCGGGAAUACGAAGGGGGCUAGCGUUGUUCGGAAUUACUGGGCGUAAAGCGCACGUAGGCGGAUAUUUAAGUCAGGGGUGAAAUCCCGCAGCUCAACUGCGGAACUGCCUUUGAUACUGGGUAUCUUGAGUAUGGAAGUGGUUAGUGGAAUUGCGAGUGUAGAGGUGAAAUUCGUAGAUAUUCGCAGGAACACCAGUGGCGAAGGCGGCUAACUGGUCCAUAACUGACGCUGAGGUGCGAAAGCGUGGGGAGCAAACAGGAUUAGAUACCCCGGUAGUCCCUGUCUCUUAUAC
rnacentral:rRNA from 1 species